rnacentral:lncRNA from 1 species
GUAAAGCUAAUUUCCUAAUCACGAAAAUCAAAUUGAGUGACUUUGGCAAAGAAAAUUGAAUGCAUCAUAUUGCCUCUAAAAUAUUAUUUUUUAUGGCAAUUCAUUAUUUCUAAGACGAAGAGAAUAAGAAAUAUUUAGUGAACAUGUAUGUUAGGCCGAUAAACCGCCCAUUAGCCGCCCUAUAAGAGCUAACCCGAUACCAAUCCGCCCG